GACCUAAUGCACCUGGCAUAUCGAGCCG
rnacentral:sRNA from 1 species